AUGAACGCUAGCGACAGGCUUAACACAUGCAAGUCGAGGGGCAGCAUGAUUUGUAGCAAUACAGAUUGAUGGCGACCGGCGCACGGGUGAGUAACGCGUAUGCAACUUACCUAUCAGAGGGGGAUAGCCCGGCGAAAGUCGGAUUAAUACCCCAUAAAACAGGGGUCCCGCAUGGGAAUAUUUGUUAAAGAUUCAUCGCUGAUAGAUAGGCAUGCGUUCCAUUAGGCAGUUGGCGGGGUAACGGCCCACCAAACCGACGAUGGAUAGGGGUUCUGAGAGGAAGGUCCCCCACAUUGGUACUGAGACACGGACCAAACUCCUACGGGAGGCAGCAGUGAGGAAUAUUGGUCAAUGGCCGAGAGGCUGAACCAGCCAAGUCGCGUGAAGGAAGAAGGAUCUAUGGUUUGUAAACUUCUUUUAUAGGGGAAUAAAGUGGAGGACGUGUCCUUUUUUGUAUGUACCCUAUGAAUAAGCAUCGGCUAACUCCGUGCCAGCAGCCGCGGUAAUACGGAGGAUGCGAGCGUUAUCCGGAUUUAUUGGGUUUAAAGGGUGCGUAGGUGGUGAUUUAAGUCAGCGGUGAAAGUUUGUGGCUCAACCAUAAAAUUGCCGUUGAAACUGGGUUACUUGAGUGUGUUUGAGGUAGGCGGAAUGCGUGGUGUAGCGGUGAAAUGCAUAGAUAUCACGCAGAACUCCGAUUGCGAAGGCAGCUUACUAAACCAUAACUGACACUGAAGCACGAAAGCGUGGGGAUCAAACAGGAUUAGAUACCCUGGUAGUCCACGCAGUAAACGAUGAUUACUAGGAGUUUGCGAUACAAUGUAAGCUCUACAGCGAAAGCGUUAAGUAAUCCACCUGGGGAGUACGCCGGCAACGGUGAAACUCAAAGGAAUUGACGGGGGCCCGCACAAGCGGAGGAACAUGUGGUUUAAUUCGAUGAUACGCGAGGAACCUUACCCGGGCUCGAACGGCGCCUGAACCACCCAGAGAUGGGUGGGUCUUCGGACAGGUGCCGAGGUGCUGCAUGGUUGUCGUCAGCUCGUGCCGUGAGGUGUCGGCUUAAGUGCCAUAACGAGCGCAACCCUUAUCACUAGUUACUAACAGGUGAAGCUGAGGACUCUGGUGAGACUGCCAGCGUAAGCUGUGAGGAAGGUGGGGAUGACGUCAAAUCAGCACGGCCCUUACAUCCGGGGCGACACACGUGUUACAAUGGCAUGGACAAAGGGCAGCUACCUGGUGACAGGAUGCUAAUCUCCAAACCAUGUCUCAGUUCGGAUCGGAGUCUGCAACUCGACUCCGUGAAGCUGGAUUCGCUAGUAAUCGCGCAUCAGCCAUGGCGCGGUGAAUACGUUCCCGGGCCUUGUACACACCGCCCGUCAAGCCAUGGGAGCCGGGGGUACCUGAAGUCCGUAACCGCAAGGAUCGGCCUAGGGUAAAACUGGUGACUGGGGCU
rnacentral:rRNA from 1 species